UGAAGCGUCUUGCUGGGCCCCAGAGGUAGUGAUCCUGCAGGUCAGUCUUCCCCUCUGUGCUCACUGGGGUGUUUUGGACCCUCUUCCACAAGGACCCAGAGAGCCAGAGAGGAUCAUGCAGUGUUGGCCCCAGACAAGGCCUCAUACUGAGUUGCAACUGAUGGCUUGGAGACUGACCGAGCCUGGCCAGGUGGGGACCUGUCCUCCUAUCCUGAUUCAUGGUCCAGUGUCCAUAAAGGAAGACUGCUGUCAACACAGUUUAUGGGCAGUGUAAUGAGGGGCUCUCUGCAGCCAGACUGCCUGGAUCUCUGUCCCAGUUCCACCUCUUACUAAUUCUAUGAUCUCGGGCACACAUUCUGAAUCUUUCUGCACUUCAGUCUUCUCAUCUGUUAAAAUGGGGCUAGUAACAGUUGCUACCUUAUAAGGUUAUAAGGACUAAAGGAGUUCAUAGUUGUGAAACACUUAGAAUAGGCCAGGCACAGUGGUUCACACCUGUAAUCCCAGGCUGAGGGAGGAGGCUGAACCAGGAUUUUGUGACCAGGCUCGGUGAGACCCUGUCUCUAUACAUUUUUUUUUUAAUUAGCUGGGCAUGAUGGUGCAUGCCUGUGGUUCCGGCUACUCGGGAGGCUGAGAUGGGUGAAUCACUUAAGCCUGGGAGGUGGAGGAUGCAGUGAGCCGUGAUCAUGCCACUGCACUCCAGCCUGGUAGACAGAGCCAGACCUUGUCUCAAAAAACAAGCAAAUAAACAAAGAAACAAAGAAUGAUGAUGACACAUGGAGCCACUAUAUAAACGUUUGCUCUUCUUAUUAGUGGUUAAAAUGUCUGAAGUCAAGUAUAGGUUUAAAUCCUUGUUUUACCACAUACUGGCUAUAUGACCCUGGGCAAGUAUUUAAUCUCUCUAUUAAAAAGGUAACGGUUGCACCAACUUUCUGUGGUUUUCAGAAGAUUAAAUGAGACAAAGUCCAUAAAUUGCCUAGCACGCUGCCUGAUCUUAGGCAGCAAAUGGUGGUGAUGACGAUUAGAUGACAGCAGGUCAGUUCUGGAAUGGGAGGCCCUCACCCAGCUCCUACAGUGAACGGUACAGCCUGGGCUGCUGCUGCUUGCCAAGCCCCAGGUCUUUCAGGCGUAGCCUCCCCUGGGGGUCCACAAUUACCAGCUGAAUCUACUCUGUUUCCAGGACCUUUGACUUAUGAUGGCUCAGCUGGGCCUGAAGAGCUUUUGAGCAUAACUUAUUGUAUGGUUUGAGUGUUUAGAAAGAUGAGCAUCUACUCUAUGCCUGAUCAGUGAUGAGUCUUGAACCCCACCCUUCUCCAACUUCCCUUGGCAGCUUCAUCCAAUUCUGUGACAACAUAUGAAACCUGCCAGACCUACGAACGCCCCAUCGCCUUCACCUCCAGGUCAAAGAAGCUGUGGAUUCAGUUUAAGUCCAAUGAAGGGAACAGCGCUAGAGGGUUCCAGGUCCCAUACGUGACAUAUGAUGAGGACUACCAGGAACUCAUUGAAGACAUAGUUCGAGAUGGCAGGCUCUAUGCAUCUGAGAACCAUCAGGAAAUACUUAAGGAUAAGAAACUUAUCAAGGCUCUGUUUGAUGUCCUGGCCCAUCCCCAGAACUAUUUCAAGUACACAGCCCAGGAGUCCCGAGAGAUGUUUCCAAGAUCGUUCAUCCGAUUGCUACGUUCCAAAGUGUCCAGGUUUUUGAGACCUUACAAAUGACUCGGCCCACGUGCCACUCAAUACAAAUGUUCUGCUAUAGGGUUGGUGGGACAGAGCUGUCUUCCUUCUGCAUGUCAGCACAGUCGGAUAUUGCUGCCUCCAGUAUCAGUGACUCAUUAGAGUUCAAUUUUUAUAGAUAAUACAGAUAUUUUGGUAAACUGAACUUGGUUUUUCUUUCCCAGCAUCGUGGAUGUAGACUGAGAAUGGCUUUGAGUGGCAUCAGCUUCUCACUGCUGUGGGCGGAUGUCUUGGAUAGAUCAAGGGCUGGCUGAGCUGGACUUUGGUCAGCCUAGGUGAGACUCACCUGUCCUUCUGGGGUCUUACUCCUCCUCAAGGAGUCUGUAGUGGAAAGGAGGCCACAGAAUAAGCUGCUUAUUCUGAAACUUCAGCUUCCUCUAGCCCGGCCCUCUCUAAGGGAGCCCUCUGCACUCGUGUGCAGGCUCUGACCAGGCAGAACAGGCAAGAGGGGAGGGAAGGAGACCCCUGCAGGCUCCCUCCACCCACCUUGAGACCUGGGAGGACUCAGUUUCUCCACAGCCUUCUCCAGCCUGUGUGAUACAAGUUUGAUCCCAGGAACUUGAGUUCUAAGCAGUGCUCAUG
rnacentral:sRNA from 1 species